ACUCCUACGGGAGGCAGCAGUGGGGAAUAUUGCACAAUGGGCGCAAGCCUGAUGCAGCAACGCCGCGUGAGGGACGACGGCCUUCGGGUUGUAAACCUCUUUUAGCAGGGAAGAAGCCUUCGGGUGACGGUACCUGCAGAAAAGCGCCGGCUAACUACGUGCCAGCAGCCGCGGUAAUACGUAGGGCGCAAGCGUUAUCCGGAAUUAUUGGGCGUAAAGAGCUCGUAGGCGGUCUGUCGCGUCUGCUGUGAAAACCCGAGGCUCAACCUCGGGCCUGCAGUGGGUACGGGACAGACUAGAGUGCGGUAGGGGAGAUUGAAUUCCUGGUGUAGCGGUGGAAUGCNCGAUAUCAGGAGGAACCCGAUGGCGAAGGCAGAUCUCUGGGCCGUAACUGACGCUGAGGAGCGAAAGGGG
rnacentral:rRNA from 1 species